GGUAUAAACUUAACCAAAGAGGAGAAAGAUCUGUAUCUGAAAACUAUAGAACACUGAUGCAGCCUAUAAGAAAACUACUUUAAGUAUAAAGACACAAAUAGGUUAAAAGUAGAAGAAUGGGGAAAAAUACGUGCCAAGCUAAUAUUAAAGAAAAGAAAGCUGGGGUGGUUUUACUGACCAGACAAAGCAGUUUUAAGAGCAAAGAAUAGUACAAGAGAUAAAGAGGGUCAGUUCAUAAAUUAAGGGGUAGAUUAAUCAAGAAGACAUUAUAAUUCUAGUUGUUUUUGCACUUAAAUUCUAUAUGUAAGACCAUGAACUAGGUAUUGUACAAAAUUUUUUUAAGAAGUUAGACAGGACCUUUUCUUUUCAGGAACUCUCUGCCCCUCCUAGAACCUCUGAUCUCAGAGUCACUUCCAUCAAGCACCGAAGACUUUGGUGCCUAGUCUACAUUCCUCUCUACCACAUGUCCAGGAGACGACAUCUAUUCAAGGGAACCCCCUGAAUCUGGACAGGCCCUGUGACUGCUCUCACCAACAGAACAUACCUUCCAGCCACAGUCCUUUCAGAAGCCUUUUGGAAGCCAGCUACUAUG